UAGUACACUUUCCCAUCCAUGACGGACGUCUAGUUAGACUCGAGCUGCGCGUACCAGAUCCCCUGGAUCUUCACAUCCUUAGGUGCCUUGGCCCCAAGGUCGGUGUCCGACGGCUGCACACUCUCGAAGACACCGAUGACCUCGCCAGUUUCCGGGUUGCUCUUGGUGACGCUCAAUGUGAUGUUGCCCGUCGACGACGCAGCGUUCUUGAUGUUCUCCUUCACGAGCUCCUCCUCGUCUCCCCUGCCUCCGGCGGGGAGCGCGACGGCGUUGUCGUACCCGGUCGAACCACCACGGCCCUUGGGGUCGAGGAAGGAGGAGCCACGGUAGCUGGGCACAAGGAAGGGCCCGCCGAAGCUCUCGGGCUUGCCGGUGGCGACGAGCUGCUUGACGGUGAAGAGGAACGGCACGCGCUCGCCUCCUGGAAGCUGCACGGUGACGGCGGCGUAGUCGAUGCCGUCCUUCUCCUCGAACUUGAGGGUGCCGUCGGAGCCGACCUCGAGCGGGCCCUCGAUCUCGUCGAGGGUGUAGGUGAGGCGGGUCAUGAGCUUGGUCUUCUGGAACUCGGGCGGGGCGUUCUUGGCGAUGCCCUCGGCCUUGACGGUGAAGGACGUCGGCUCCAGGCAGAACUUCUUCAUCUGGUACUUGCCGGCCUUGAACGGGAAGGAGUCGACGCCGCCGUCGAUGGUCGGGCACUGGUUCGCCGUGCCCGUGCCCUUCACCUCCAUGUACGUCUUGCUCUGGAUCUCGUCGUAGGUCAGCCUCUUGGGCGUGCCCUCCGCGCUCGCGCCCUGUAACACGCACGCACACGUCAUCAAUUUGUCUCCCAAGUCCCAACUAUGAUAACAAAUCGGAUUCAGCCACGGUUGCUUACCGAGACGAGGAGCGCCGAUGUGGCGAGCGCGAAGCCGGCGAGCUUGGCGGCGUCGAUGCACUUGCUGGCGACCUCCCUGACGUCGGACUGCAGGGAGCACGAGAUCCUGCCCGCGCCGGCGUCGACGCCGAACGCCCUGGCGACGUGGGAGGCCUGGCGGGACGGCAGCGAGGCGGAGGCCCGGCCGCCGAUCUUGGCCGGCUGCAUUAGGGUGGCCGCGGCUUGGAGUGACGCUGCCAUGGUCGUCGUCGCUGCGCCUGCGCUGUCCUGCCUCUGGUGUGAGAUUGUGUGUCGCGAAAGGCGGGCGAGCGUUAUCUAUGCGCAGCUAAGCCAGCGCAGCGGAGGAUAAGAGGAGCGGAUAAGGCGUAGCCUCCCAUUGGCCGUUGGGGGUUCCGGGCUAUGGUGAUGCCGACGUGGAUGCACACCUGGCAUGGCCAGGUGCCACUCCUUCCUGGGCGUGUGGUGGCGGUGGCUAGUUUUGCUGUGGGGACUCGCACGGCAAGGAUCUCUAUCUGUGGUGGUGGUGGCUUCCGUUCCGUAUAUACGUAGUAAUUGGAUUCUUGAUGAUUAUUCUAAAGCACUGUGUUACAAUCACUGAUAGUAAAACACAUUUGCUUUCAUUAUUUAUUAGAACGGAACUAGCCGUCAUUUUUUAAUUUUAACCCUUUUAAAACUAAAAUUUUAUAAAUAACUCAUUCGAAUCUAUAUUUCCAAGAAGUAACCCUUUUGAUCACGCUGAGCUCCCGGCCACACCAUAUACAAUAGCGUGACUAAUAUAACACGGUGGCAUGGACAAAUAAUGAUGGUUGCAUGGCAUUGACGUGGUGAUGAUGUGGUGGAGCAAGUCACGUCAAGCCAUCUAUCGUAACCAGCUCCCGUUGUUACUGCUGCACUCAAAGUGCACAAAAAUGCAGCCCAUUUAUCCAUAUUUCAUCUUCCAUUCUAAUUAGAUAAUGAGCUCUUAAAUUUGUCAAACUCUAAAAUUAUAAAUCUAUGAAGUGUAUAAGUUCCAUUUUAAGUUCUUGUACUUCAAAACAUAGUGUGGAAAGCCAGAAAUUCAAUUUGUAAAUAUGCUAAAUGUUAUUGGUUGUAUACUUAUAUCUGAAGAGAUCAAACCAAAUGAUGAUAACAUCGAUUCAGUUAUCCAUUUUGUGACAUCCUGAUUUGAUUGCAUAAGCAAACUUCAAUAUUAUUCUUUGAAUUUGAGCUAUGAAUGUUGGCCCAAAAUAAUUAAUCACGUAAAUUAUGAUGCAUGGCCCAUGAGUUGCUACAGAUGAGGGACUUGUAUGCAUGGAUAUUAAGGGUCUGUUUGGCUCCCCCGCUAAAGUUCAGCACCUGUCAUAUCGGAUGUUUGGAUACUAAUUAGGAGUAUUAAACAUAGGCUAAUUACAAAACUAAUUGUACAGAUAGAGUGUAUUCGCGAGACGAAUCUAUUAAGCCUAAUUAGUCCAUGAUUUGAUAAUGUGGUGCUACAGUAACCAUUUGCUAAUGAUGGAUUAAUUAGCCUUAAUAGAUUCGCCUUGCGAAUUAGUCUAGGGGUUUUGGAAUUAGUUUUAUAAUUAGCUCAUGUUUAGUCCUCCUAAUUAGCAUCCGAACAUCCGAUGUGACACUACUAAAGUUUAGCAGCUAGUAUCCAAACACCCCGUAAAGAUUCUGGUUGCAAUACUAGACUAAGCCUGAAGAACAAUACAACGACCUCAUUAGCACAACAGUAUUUGUCCAUGUGUUCCACCAGAUGGUCAGGAUACUCUUUCUUUACUGGCUCCGACAAGAUCAGCUAGCAUGAGGGGGGCAUGUAAUCUGUAACAGGUUGUUAAGCUGUGAGAAAUAUUCAGAGUGUAGCAGAAGGCAAUAAACAUAACAAACUUGAACUUCAAAUAGCUGCGGAACCUCAAAUGUCUGCUUCAGCAGGAACACGUCAUCCUAAAAAGCAACGACACGAGAAAGGGCUACUUUUUGUUACUGCCACGUGUCACUUAAUUUUUGUCCGCGCCACCAUGUGAUAUUGGUCACGGUAUUGCAUGUGGCGUGACUCAUCAAUUAGUCACGCCACGCAGCUCGGCGUGACAAAAAGGCUACUUCUUGGGAAAUAUAUAUCAGGAGGAGUUAUUUAUAAAAAUUUAGAUUUAAAAGGGUUAAAAUUAAAAAAAAUUGUUUAUAGUUAUGAUGACAUCGAUCCGUGAUAUUGCGAUGAAUAAUCAAAGUAAAUAAUCAAAGAUGGAAGAUGCUUCGCUGAUGUUUCGCAGUGGAAAAAGAAUUUUUUUAGAGUAUAAUAGAAUAGAGAAAAGAAGAUAACAUAAUAAUGAAUCUUUUGCAUGUUGAACUACUGGCUACAUUAUGACAAUGGUCGUAAUAUUGUUUGGAUAAGCUGUGGUACUAAAAUACUUUUUUCACAAAUUGAAUAAAUAUGGUAAUAGGCAGAAGGACGAAACUGACAUGUACAAAUAGAAAUUAGUUAAGCAUCUACGUUAAGCUAUAAGAUAGUUUUCUUUCAUCUAAUACAAUCUAUGCAUGCUAGUUCUAGUAGAGUCAUGUUCUUUAUUUUGGGAGAAGAUUACAUCUAUAUUUUCUUUAAUUUAGUUUUAGGGCUAAACAUGCAAAAGAUGCAUGCACGGGGAAAAAUGCAGGAAAGAUAAUACGUAUACAGUGCACGGUAGUGAAAUUUGUAAAUUAACAGACAAACCUGAUAUCUCUAUUUGAUGACACACUAAAAAAAGUGUGGAAGAAGUCCAGCAAAAAUAACAUCUGGCAGAAGUUGUUAUAUAGACGCAAUCAGGUAAAUUUUGAUGUAUUAGAAAAAAAGAAAAACUAAUAAGAUUUUGCAUCAGUGAACAAUCUUGCAGCAGACAAUCGAAUGGUGGUAUCUAAGAAACAAACAUGACUGCAUGCGUGAGAAAAAAGUCGCAGCAAAAAUAAGAAUAAUGACGUACAAAUAUCAGUGUAUUAUUAUAUUGUUUCUUUCAUGCGCAAAUAUGACUCACAUCUGACAUCUUAUAUUUCGUAUGCACUACUACCAUGUAGGAGUUACUGUAUACUGAUCCAUAAGAGUCCUUUUUUUGUUGGCUGCAUGAUCUCCCACGGCUUUGAUACCACCAACUCCAACGUUUCGACACAACUUUCGGUGGUUCAAUUCUACACAUUCUGAUUUGAAUAGGCCGAAUUCAAUUCCUUGACAGGACUGUUCAUGACUUGACGUAAUGUUUCCCAUCUGAAUUGUCGGUAAAAAGUUAUUGAUCUAUGGACGGAUGCAUGGGAAUCAGAAUCACAUGCGAGGAGUAUUCCCGAUGGUUGAGGAUAACACUACCACCUUGAAUGUUUGAUACUAAUUAGAAGUAUUAAAUAUAGUCUAAUUAUAAAACUAAUUGCACAGAUGGAGUUUCAUUCACGAGACAAAUCUAUUAAACCUAAUUAGUUCAUGAUUUGACAAUAUAGUGCUAAAGUAACCAUUUGCUAAUGAUAGAUUAAUUAGCUUUAAUAGAUUUGUCUCGCAAAUUAGAAUUCAUAUGUGCAAUUAAUUUUAUAAUUAGCUCAUAUUUAAUCUUCCUAAUUAGCAUCGAACAUCCGAUGUGAUCCUACUAACUCAAGAGGAUGAUCGAAUUACAACAUGUUUAGUUCAUCCUUGAUUACUACAGCUACAAAGAUGAUUACCUCUAUGAGAGCAAUGAAGCAACUCCAACUGGACUACAGAGUCCCGCUUCCUUGUAGAUACUCCCAACCUUUUUAUUUAUAAGACGCAUACGUGUAUCAAGAUUCAAACUUUGCAAUAUUUGAUAAGAAUUUGACUAUUAAUUUUUUAUUUUUAAAAUGUAAACUUUAUAUGGUUGGAUUCGUAUCAAAUAUAUUCUACAAUGAUUACAAGUUUAUAAACACAAAUAAUAUAAUAUAAGAUAAAUAAAUGGUGAAAGUGUUAUUUGAAAAAUCGUACCACGUCAUACCACAUCAUACCAUAUUUUUAUAGACAUAUAUGGAGGGAGUAAGCACUUCCUUACUAAUCUUCUUGGCAUGAUCUUGUGGCGGGUGAUCUGCUGCUCACCGUGUCAUACAUCAUCUGUGGCGUGACCUCACAAAUGUGAUAUCGAUUGCUGGCCAGCCGGCCAGCCGCGUGCUCGAUCGGAUCCAUCAUGCUGCCACGAGAAUAUGUAGAGAUUUAGAGUUUCACUGCCAUUGGAUCUUGUAUGUAUACAAACAAUAAUUACAUUCCUACUAGAAUCUUGUGCUGCCAUGUUUAGUAUCACCGGUACCCUUUUCCUAUUACUUGAAGGUUUCAACGGCCUGCUAUGAAUAGCAUUGAGUUACCUUUUUCCUCGUGUCAAUAAUCAUUCUUGACAAAGAACGGUCGAAGGAUAGGUACAUCAAGUUGCCUUUUACUUCUUUUCAAACGUUCUGGAGAAAACAACAUGGAAAGGAUCAGAUGAACUCUGAUUUUGGAAAGGGAGGACGUGGACGGAUUGGUCCCAAAGGAGUCUAUGAUUUUUGUGUGUUUGUUUUUCCGUAUAUUCCUACUACAAUCUUGUGCUGCCAUGUUUAGGACCACCGGUACCCUUUUUCUUACGUGAAGGAUUCUACAGCCUGCUACAGAAUAGCAUCGAGUUACCUUUUUCCUUUUGUCAAUAAUCAUUCUUGACAAAGGGGGUGUUUGGAUCUUUAGGAUCUCCUAAAAUUUAUGUCACAUCGAAUAUUCGGAGGCUAAUUAGGAGGACUAAAUAUAAGCUAAUUAUAAAACUAAUUACACAGAUGGAGGCUAAUUCACAAGACGAAUCUAUUAAGCCUAAUUAAUCCAUCAUUAGCACAUGUUUACUGUAGCAUCACAUUGUCAAAUCAUGAACUAAUUAGGCUUAAUAGAUUCGUCUCGUGAAUUAGUCUCCAUCUGUGCAAUUAGUUUUGUAAUUAGUCUAUAUUUAAUGCUCCUAAUUAGUAUCUAAACAUUCGAUGUGACAGAAAUUUUAGGAGGGACUAAAGAAACAAACACCCCCAAAGAACGGUCGAAGGAUAGGUACAUCAAGUUGCCUCUUACUUCUUUUCAAACGUUCUGGAGAAAACAACACAGAAAGGAUCAGAUGAACUCUGAUUUUGGAAAGGGAGGACGUGGACGGAUAUCGGAUAGGUCCCAAAGGAGUCUAUGAUUUUUGUGUCAGUAGACCUGCAGGCAGCACCUUUUGUAUCCCCCAAGCUCAAGCUGCGAAACCGGCAGCCUCGCCCAAAGCAACCACUCGCUAGCACACGGCAGAAACAAAGUUAACAAAACGAACAGCCUAUCUGCUACGUAUAAAUACUAAGAGCCCACGAGGCAAAACCAUGCUCCUUUUUUGCAAUCUUUCCCUUUGUAUUAUUGUCCCGUUCUUGGUUCCGUCCUCCUGCGUCCAAAUAGCGAGCACCACUACGGAAAGCGUUGCGCAACCGGUAUUGCUAGUUUGCAUUACUAGGGAAAACGUCAUUAGUACCGCUUUCGCAACUAGUACUGGUAGUUCGGUAGUAAAGGGGAGGUCUUUAGUAACGGUUAAGAUAACUGGUAUUAAAAGGUAUUAAUUUUUUUUUGAAAAAAGAAUCCCCCGCAGGCCCCGCCGCCCCCCUGCCCCGUGCCGCCCUCCGCCGGCCCGCCUCCGCCAGCCUUGCCGCCCUCCUCCGGCGUAGGGAUACGAGGUAGGCUACACUAGCGCAAAUCAAAAUUUCUACCGCGUAAAACCAGGAAGAACUGCCAUAUAAGGAUCACGGGAUUACCACUCGACGCACUACUGGUGCGGAAGAUGUAGAUUUGCGUCGAUGCAGUGAAGACGAUCAACGUAGUCAUACGUAGUCGAUCAACGUAGUCGUACGUAGUCGAUCACGUCAACAUCCAGCAGCUCCUCAGCAGCUCGUCCACGUGUAGCAAGAUCGCCCUCGUGCCACGGCUCGUCGUCGGCUCGUCGUGGCUCGUCGGCGGCUCGUCCAAGUGCUGCAGGCGCAACACCUCCAAGGUAUCCACACGUGCAGGGAGGAAGCAUCGAAAGCCGGACUGCUAGAUCCGUGAGUUGCAACAGGCGAGGGCGUGGGAGGCGCGGCAGAUGUGUUUCGCCAAAAAGGUGUAAACCCUAGGGCGCCCCCACCCCUCUAUUUAUAGAGGUUCCUGACGGGCCUCUGGGUCCGAGGCCCAUUAGUACUUCUAAACCUAAUCCAACUCGGAUCAGAUCCGAAUUGGGCUUCCAGCCCCUUAAGUGUGUGACCCUAUGGGUUCGGAUACGUAUAGACAUGGCCCGAGUACUCCUACUCGGCCCAAUAGUCGGUAGCGGCCUCUAGCAAGACGUGCCAACUCCUAUACGCACACGAAGAUCAUAUCAGACGAACCAUCACAACAUAAUAUACAUGCUAUUCCCUUUGCCUCACGAUAUUUGGUCUAGCUUCAAGCCGAACGCUCUUUCUCGAUCCUGUGAUUCGGAAUCCCUUUGUAGGUUAACUCUUAACCGUACGUAGCAUGGCCAUGCAUUUUCGGAUCCGAUCACUCGAGGGGCCCAGAGAUAUCACUCUCAAUCAGAGAGGGGCAAAUCCCAUCUUGAUUGACCAUGUCUCAUAGCAUGCUUCUUGACAAACCCGAAAGCUACCUUUAUAACUACCCUGUUACGGCGUAGCGUUUGAUAGCCCCUAAGUAGGUCGAUCCACAUCUUGAAUACAUGCGACAAUCUCAGGUCUAAGGACAAAGCGUAUAUGUUGUUUAAAGAGAGAACUACUUGUCGUGUUGGGUCAGUCCUAGCACAUGUCUCCACAUGUGUCCACAUUAUUAGUUCAACAUCUCCAUGUCCAUGACUUGUGAAACAUAGUCAUCAACUAAUACAUGUGCUAGUCUAAUAUUCAUGUGUGUCCUCACAUGAACUCCGACUAGGGACAACUUUAGAAUAACCAUACAAGUAAAGAGUUUCACAUACAAUUCACAUAAUUGCAAAUCAAUUCAAGUAGCCUUUAAUGGAUAUUCAAUGAACACAAUAUACAAAUCAUGGAUACAAAUGGAAUAUCAUCAUCUCUAUGAUUGCCUCUAGGGCAUACCUCCAACAUUCGGCACCCCCGCCUCCACCCCCAUCGCAGCCCUCCGCCCAGCCCCGUCACCCUCAAAUGCACGCCCGCCACUGCUCCUGCCUCCACCCUCCCGCGGCCCUCCGCCACCCGCCCCCGCCUCGUCGGGCCCUUCAAGAAGGCGCUCGAGGGCUUCACCCACCUGCUUGUCGCCGUCCAAAAGUUCUCAAAGUGGAUCGAGGCACGACCGGUUGCGAAGAUCAAGUUCGAGCAGGCGGUACAAUUCUUCACCGACAUCAUCCAUCGCUUCGAAGUCCCGAACUCCAUCAUCACGGACAACAGCACGCAGUUCACCGGGAAGAAGUUCCUCAAGUUCUGCGACAACCACCACAUCCGAGUGGACUGGUCAGCUGUAGCGCAUCCCCUCAUGCAUGGACAGGUCGAGCGGGCCAACGGCAUGAUACUUCAGGGUCUCAAGCCGCGGAUCUUCGACCGCCUCAACAAGUUCGGCGGCCGGUGGGUUGCGGAGCUCCCCGCAGUCCUAUAGAGUCUGAGGACGACCCCCAGCAGGGCAACUGGCUUCACCUCGUUCUUCAUGAUCUACGGGUCUGAGGCAAUCCUCCCCACCGACCUGGAGUAUGGGUCGCCAAGGGUCAGGGCGUAUGACGAACGAGGGAACCAAGCAUCUCUCGAGGACGCGCAAGACCAGCUCGACGAAGUGCGCGACAUGGCCUUGCUGCACUCGGCCAAGUACUAGCAAGCUUUGCGACGGUAUCACAGUCGUAAGAUACGGGGCCAAGCCUUCAAUGUCGGCGACCUAGUGCUUUGCCUCGUCCAAGACAAAAGAGGUCGGCACAAGCUGACCCCUCCAUGGGAAGGUCCUUUCAUCAUCAUGCAAGUACUGCGGCCGGGCACGUACAAGCUGGCGACCCCCGACGGGCAGGUCUUCACCAAUGCUUGGAACAUCGAGCAGCUAAGACGUUUCUACCCUUAGCUAUUUUUUUCAAGUUUGUACAUACACACUUUUGUUAUCUUUUAGUUUGUGAAAAAGGAGCGGGUUUGAGUUGCCUUCGCUAGAGUUUGUCCCAUGCUUAGGGAUAUUUGAGCCUGGCUCUGCCCCAGGGUCGCACAUCCCUCGGGGGCUAUCAGGGGCUCCGACCCAAGACACUUGGCUUCUUCUCAAAACACCAUUUCCCCAAACCGACCCUCUUCCUAAACAUUUGGGUGUGAAAAGAAAAGAGUGCGCGAACGAUGCUCGGACAAGACCGAUUGGACCACCAGAAACCCACGCCCCAAUAGCUACGGUGCCUUUGCUCAUCGGCGCUUCCUGACACAACCGACUCGCACUCUGAUCUUUCCAAACCCAAAAAACAGGAAGAGGAUCGAAAACUUUUUCGAAAAUUACACAAAUAGAAAGUCCUCUGCGGCCAUCGCAGAAGCAAGUUCAAAGUUAAUUAACAUAUUUACACAUUCUUGGGCAUCUGGGCCCGAUACAGCUAACUCGUCCCCGGGUCCUCCGGCGGGAUGGGCUCAUCCUCCAGGAGCUUCGCCAAGGCCUCCGCUGGAUCGAGCACCGACGCGUCGAUCUUGUCCAGCUCGGCCUCGGAGUAGCCGGAGGCAUACCCCCCGCUCAUCGCGGCGAAGUUGAUGCCGGAGUAGUGGGAGCCGAAGACGCCAAAGGCCGGCCUCACGUCGACGUGGAGCGCCUCCCGAGCGAUCUCACGAGCCCGCCGGUACGCCUCGAGGACACGAGCCGCCAGCGUGCUCGUCCCUUCCACUUGGACCACGCCAAGGUCCUCGCAGACGAUGUGAACGGCGUCCCACAGGUUGGCGUGCUCGAUGUGCUCCGCAUAAGCGGCGUCCCUCAGACGGGCGAGGUCGGCCUCAAGACCUACCCAGAAAAGCCUGCCAAGUCAUAGACCAGCGCAACGCUGCACGUAAGAAGACAACGAAAGCCUUACCCUCAGAUUGAGCCUUCAGCAGACACUCCCGGUCGAGCCCUUGGGACACAGCGGUCUGAAGCCCCUGCAUCUGUGAGUGGAGGUGACUGACCUCUGCCCCCAAGGUCGGCUGCCAUCCUCUCAGCCUCAAUCUUCUGACCUGCCUCGAGGUCGCGCUCCUACCGAGCCGCGUGCCGCUCGUGCCGGAUACGCUCAACGGUUUUCUGAAGGGCCUCAUGCUCCUUCCUCAACCGUGCAAGAUCCUCGGCAUCGUGGCGGGCCUCCUCGGCAACAGCCUGGAACUCCUCGGCAUCAAGCCGGGCCUUCUUGAUGACGGCCCUGAACUUGUCCUCUGCCCAUCGUGCGCCUUCCCACGUCUCCUGCUCGUGCACUCGCAGGUCAGCAACAUUUUGCUGGGCGGCUGCGAGCUGCCCGGUAAGCUCCUCGGUCCACCGCGUCUCUGCGGCAAAGCGCUCCCAGACCCCCCGCUCACUCCGGAGGAACUCGGACUUCCCCCGGCUGCAUUCCUAGAGGGCCUGCAAGAUGAUUUACACUCAGGAACCGUCGGGAGAAAAGAGGGACGGAGAAAUGAGAGAGAAAUAACCACCAAGAGAACACCGCACCUGACCGCCGGGAACAACAACGCCAUCCAGCUUCCCCAUCGCGAAAGAUAGGGCAGCAUGGACGUGUUCAUGUCCGCCCUGCACCUCCUGCCACCUUUUUCGCUCCCCGACAUUGUCCAGCAUGAAGCGGGGCCUCAAGGGACAUCCAGUGCAUGGUCGGCCCUCCCCACGCAUUAGGGUCGUGACCAAGCUGGACGAGGGCAUGGGAGGACUCUCUGGCCUGCUCCGACACCGCCGUUCCUCGUUGUCGCUGCCAAGGCGGGCACCACCUUCUCCGCCGGCGCUGCCGUCCUCGUCGUCACCGUCGAGGCGGGCGCCACCUUCUCCGCCGGCGUCACUGUCCUUGUCGUCAUCGCCGAGGCGGGUGCCACCUUCUCUGCUGCCAUCGCCGUCCUCGACAUUGCCGCCAAGGCGGGCGCCACCGUCUCCGCCGCCACCACUGAGGCAGGCGCCACUGUCCCCGUCGUCGCCACCGAGGUAGGCGUCACCGUCUCUGCCUCCGCUGCCGUCCCCGUCGUCGCCGCCGGCGUAGGCGCCACCAACUCUACCACCGCCGCCGUCUCCACCACUGUCGCCGCCGCCCCCGCGGAUGGGGCCUCGAACCCUGAUGCCUCCCCCACCAGCUCCUCCUCCUCGUCGUCAAGGUUUAUCACCUUGCCGGGUGGAGGAACCCCAGGGGUAGCGUCCUUUCCCGCAGGGUCGGCUGCGGAGGCAGAAGGUGGAACAGGGGUCGGCCCCUGCACCAUGCCCAACUGCGGUACCCUUUCUCCAGCCGCCACCGCAGAGGCCGCCACCGCAGGAGGCACCGCGGCCUCUCCAACGACACCACUGCUCAUUCCCGACGGGGCCACGGCUGGCCCCGUGGAGGCGGUCGACACCCGGAGCGCCUUCUCCAGCGCCAGCGGCGGGACGAAGUCUCGGGGAGCAGCGCUGCAAGACGACGAAAACUUCAUCAAAGGCUUCUCGAUGCCAGGAAAGGAAUAAGGUAUGUGAGAACUUUCCACUUACCUCACCAUGGCAUGAGGGUGACGAGCGCGCUUCGGCUCCGAGCUCGACGCUGACCCCGGGACAUCGGACAGCGGCCGCUUGCCGUUACUCCUCUGCUCGCGCGAUGCAGGCAGAGGGAAAGGGGUCGGCUCCGUCGAUCCCUGAGGCAAGCCCCGCGUCAACCCCUGGGGCGCGGCCACCGAGCCCCACGGAGCCGGGCCCUGGGCGGGCGGUCCGCUCGACCUGCCCCACGUGGCCGAUUGAGGGGGCUGGUCCCUGAUGACAAGCACACCCGGCGCGGGGGCCAGGACAUACUCCUCCUCCUCCUCCUUGGUCUUGUCUUCCUCCUCAUCCUCACGUCAUCGUCGUCCGACACGACUAUGUCCCUCUGCCACCAUUGGAACUCUUUCAUGGCCCUUUUCCUCUUCCUCGCUGUGUCUUUGUCCUUCCUCCUCUUCUGCUUUUCGGCGAGGAGGCGGUUCUGCCGUCGCCGUUCUGCGUCCUUUGGCACCGGUGGGCACGAGGCUACGAUCUGGGUCAGAUUGCCCUAUAGAUACAAAGACUACGCAUCAGGAUGAUAGACCAGGAAAUGCAGGAAAGUUGAACGAGAGUAAGAAAUUCUCACCAGCGGGACAAAGUCCUCGUCCGGGUGCAUCGGAGGGUGACCGGGCACCGGGUAGAUGACGUCCCUGUCAUCCAGCGCCUCCCGGACGCACUGCUCGAUCUCGGCGUUGGCAAGCACACCCGUCGCAAGGAUGGUGCCCUCGGUCGGCACGCCACCAUCCGAGUGUGGUACACCCCGAUAACUCCGGCCCCCGGUAAUGCCCUUCACUUUCAGGCGGUCGAUGGCCUGAAGAAGAACGGGGAUAUACUUCUUCUCCUUCUCGACCGGACCAUAAGACUAGUGGUCCGGCGUCGCCGUAAUGACACGGUCAGUGAACUUCGGCAAAGGGGACUCGGGGUAGUUCUUCACAUAGAACCACUGCUGGUGCCACCCCUUGUGGGAUGCCGCAGUCUUCAUCGCCAUGUACUCCUUGACGCGGUUCUGGAGGAGGUGGAUGCUAGCGCACCCCAUUGGCACCGGAACAGCCCGCACCUGGAUCCCCUUCUUCUCGACCUUCUGAUACAGGCUUUCCAUGAAGAAGUACUUCUAGAGCGAGAAGUUGGGCUCGAUUCCCAAGUACCCCUCGCACAGCGCGACGGAUGCUACGAUGUGCUGGAUCCCGUUGGGGUUGAGGUGCUGCAGCUCAAGCCCGUAGUGGUGCAGCAGCCCGCGGAAGAAGAGGCUCGACGGAGUCGUGAACCCUUUCUCAUGGAAGUGCGCGAAUGAGAUGAUGUAGCCAUCAUCCAGCUGCGGCGCAUCUUCCCUCCUGGGGAACCGCCACUCGUCCUUGGCGGUCCUCUCGCAAAGGAGGCCCUUCUUCAUGAGGCCGUUGGCGCGCGAGGUGCUGAAGUUCGAGCGCAUCCAGGACUCCAUCGCUGAGGAGAUGGAAGGCUCGACGGCGGGGGAUGGAGAAAGCUGCUGCGCUGGGGCGAGGGGAGGCGAAAAGUGCACAAGAAAGCAAGGAAGGCUAGAGGACAAGUGCGGGCAGAACCAGCAAGGCGGACUCCCUCAUCUUAUAGGGGGGCACGUGGGAAGCGAAAGGGGCAAUCCAAUCGCAGUUAUUGGGAUGCCAGGUACGCCAAUCACCCUGCAUUUUUUGGGAAACCGCACGCACGAUCUGCUGCAGGGAACGUCUCUCACUCCAUUGUUUCGCGGGCCCAGUACUCUCUGCCACUUCGCCUUCCAGAGAGCGCACGCGUGUGACCUCCCCCACGUCCCGCCCGGGGCCCACCAACAGGUAAAAAAGGGAUACAGAGCUGAAAACGCUCCUACGGCCCAUUACGCUCCAGGGGUUUGAAGGCUGGCCCACUAUGGGGUUCGACAGUCGCCCCAGGAUUCCCUCGAGCAAGGGGGUGAGAAGGGACGGGUCCGCUAGCGGCCAACACCCAGGUGAGCGAAAGCUAAGGGCGUCCCGACCUCAUGUUUGAGUCCGGACUAGCAUCAAAGUUCAUGGUUUUUCCCUGAAGAAAGGCAACGAGCCCCCAGAUCCAGUCGAACGGACUCGAGAACUAUAUGAACUGGCCAGCCGGAACCUGGGGAAUGCCACCAGCUUGGCCCGAGCCGGACCCCCCCGAACGGGGAUUGGGAUUCCACUUGAACUGACCCAUUCGCAGCUCAAUGAGCACCACGGUUCAUCCAACGAGGAUAGCGUGGCACGGCUCACCCCCUCCGUCCCAGCAAAUGGACGCUUGAGGUAGCGAUCAAAAGUCGAUCUAGCCUCUCGAUUGGUCUCCUACAACGUGCGGGGGCUCAGGGGCUGGCAUCGUAUCCAAUGACCACGGGUGUGGUCGCAAUUCGGAGUCUUGGAGCAGGAGUGGUCGGCGAAAUGAUAGGGAAUCCUCCCGCGCCUAGCCAUCCUCAGAACACCCUGCCUAACCAAACUACCCGGCCAAGCAGAACGAGCGGAACUUUUUCUCCCUGAUCAAAUGCAAGUUGCAGGACAAACAAGGAUCCCCAACGAACGACGAAUGCAGCCUCUGGAGGAGCAUCUUUUGCUCCACCAAAGGCUCGAGGGCUACUGUUGGGGGAAAAUAUUAACGACCUUCUUAUGAUCGUUAAACAACGGUCAUAGGGGCCCGAGCCCACCUGCGGCGACAGUGACCUUCGCCGACUCGGCAUGGACAGGGAGUAUUCCACUUCGCCUUGCCCGACCCAUGGUCCCAGGGUCAGAUACGCCUGACCCCUCGUUGCAAGGCUCCACCUCGCCCGACCCACGGUCCUAGGGUCCGAUACGCCCGACCCCUCGCCGCAAGGCUCCGCCUCGUUCGACCCACGAUCCUAGGGUCCGAUACGCCCGCCCCCUCGCCACAAGGCUCCACCUCACCCGACCCCGGGCGCAGGGGGUCGGACGCAUCCGGGCCCACCAGACAGGGCUUCGCCUCGCUCGAGGGUGGGCACAGAUUAGCAGACAUGAGCGCAGGUCUCAUGGGCCCCCACCAACCUCACCAUAAAUGCGAUACGGCUCUGGCGCGCAGAAAGGCGCCCGCGCUCCUUGACAUGACCCGCCAUAGUAUUCGGGCGGUACACUGUAGCCACAACCGCACAGGCUACAGCGGCACCGUCCUAAUCCGCUGCCUCCCCUGCUCGUAGUAGGGCAUUCAUUACCCACACCCCUAGCACAGGAGGGAGCGCCGCCCGGUUUUGUGCUCGGACCAGCGGCAGAGACAUGUUGGCCGCGCUGCCCGAUCAGCACGCGGGGCUACAGAGGUCAGCCGUUCUCCACGACACGCAUAGCUGCGGUAGCCGGACAUCAUCAUCACCAUGCAUGGCUAUAGCGGUCGGACGCCACACACAUCUCGCACGCUCGGCCACGAUGGUCAACCGGAGGGUCGCUGACAGGGCCCAACGAUAGCCACCCCCCUCCGGCGGUCAUGCUGAUGGGAGACAAAGAUCGAAAGGGAAGGCGGUGACCCCGGGGACUCGGUCCUUCCCCUUGUGCUUUACUCUACUUUACUUGCUUAUCUAUUUUACUUCUCUUAGCUCCUGGCUCAACUGUAACUCCCGUCUCUUCCAUGUGCUAUAAAAGGAAGACUGGGGGAACCGAGCAGAGGAAGAGUCUCAAGCCAACAGAACUCACACCCUCUCCUCAUGAGCAUUAGUGCACACCCUACUACAGAUCUGCACGAGUAACACGAGCUGCCUCCCACACUAGACGUAGGGCUAUUCCUGCCUGAACCAGUCUAAAUCUCGUGUCGUCUCAUGCAACCAUACGGGCCUUACACGCAUAGAAACAAAUUCACUUGCCGUAGUCUUGACUCGUAAUUCUUGACAACGACACCAUGUAUGAACUCACAUACAUAGUAUCCUCAUAAAUUAUUCCCUAAAUUCUGUCUCAAACACUAUAUACAUGGUACUCCAAUGGCACAUUUAUAAUGUCUUCCCCACAAAAAUAAUGUUGAUCUCCAAUCUAAACUUCGAGCAUGAUUAAACCAUUGGCUGAAGCCUCCAUGUACUAUUGGUGUAAUUUGUACAUCUUCGUUGGAAGACGGUCCACCAAAUGCGACCACACAAGGGGUUUCCCAAACUCAUAUUUCCAUUUAGCAGCCCCAGGGUGAUUUGGGACGUGAUCCUCCCCUCGAAGUUAAGCUGGGGUGAGAUUUGUAUCUUUGACGAAUUGAAGCAGGUUCUGAUCAAACUCUAAAAGCACCUGGAGUGGGGCAAUCAAUUGGUUGGAUUGGGUUCCGAGUUAUGGAAUACUUGACCCACUUUUCUUCUUCUUCUGAGAAGCCUUUGUUAUUUGUUGGUCGAAGUCAGAUAGCAGUGGUUUCUUUACUUUUUUCUUCAUGCUUCUAAUGAAAGCCCAAAGUUUAACCCUAACAAGUGGUGGAUCUUUCUUCAUGGGAGGCUUUGGUGUGAAGUGAGCUUUAGCCUCAGCAUCCACUACUGUGUGGAGUUUCGCAUCAGACAUAUCACAAGGUUUCUUGGGCUCUGGUUGCUUCUACUUCUACUUAUUCUACUUCUUCGUAGCUGUAGUAGGUGGAACUGAAGGCAUCUUUCGCCGUGUAGCCUUGCUCAUAGCAGGGGGAGGUGGACUCAUGAUAGGAGCCCUAUCAGCUGGUGGACUCAUGCUAGGAUCCCUGUCUGGUAGUGGAGAGGGUGCCUUGGCAGAUGGCGUAGGUUAUCUUACCAUUGAGCCUUGAGGAGAUGAUCCCAAGGUCGGGGGAUUCGGCUGCAUAAUCCUUAUGUAGCGCUUGGGCCAUAGAAUCCAACCAUGGAUGGCUUCUCCUAGAUUUUUUUCCCUGUCACCUCCAGGGAUCUCCAGUUCCAGGUCAUCCCAACUGUCGACCACUCAGUCCACCCCAACUUUGGCAUAACUGCAAGCUGGAAUCUCAUAUGAAUUGUUUGGCCUUGUGUUGGUUGUUUAGCCACACCAUCUCCCAGUGAUAUCGUCCAUGGGGUGGCAUUGGUUGUACUCAAAUAUGUCAGAAGAUCCUCCAGCUGGGGCUUUCGUGGAAGCGACGCUGAGAGGGGCUUAUGUCGACAUUAGCCCCUGAUGCUACAGCUGCUUGUUCACUGGCUUGUUUGCUAAGAGCUAGAGCCACAUGCCAGUCAAUUAUUUCCUCCAUUCUUGCCUCUGUCAAAGCUACGUGUUCUUGCAAAUCUUGCAACUGUUGUGCGUGUUCAGCCUUACUUCUUUUGUGACUUCUGUAUGAAUCAAUGUGCUUAUGAAAGGCAAACUUUCAUGGAAUUACUCCUUUGCCUAGGGAACAUCUAGGGUGUUCUGGAUUACCUAGUGCCAUAGUUAGCUCAUCCUUUUCUUGAUCAGGUACGAACGAUCCUUCGGCCAUUGCCUUUAUUAACUCAUCAAGCCUCGUAGCUCCUCCUCUUAAUUCUUGGCCAAACACAAAUGAUUCAUCUACGGGAUUGAGCGUGCCACCAUGAGCAUAAUACCAAUUCUUUGCUCGCUCUAGCUAUUCAAGAGUCUGCGGUACUAUUCCCCUAGCAAUUAUGUCAUCUUCCAUUAUCUACCAUUUCAUGAUCCCCUUCUUGUAACCUCCUGGUCCAAGACGAUGAAAGUAUUUCUUCUUCUGAGCAUUGUCGGUGUUGGUUUUAGUUGCCUUAACGCUCGUUUGUGACUGCUUGAACUGCACAAAUGAAUCCCAGUGAUCUCUUAACUUCGGAUGUUUCGUGAAAUUUGGUGUAAGCCCCUUCUUUAUGUAGUCUUUGUUUAGUUUUUGAUUGUACGUCUGAAAAGCAAUUGCACCCUUCUUGAAGCUCCAAUCUUUCACUUUUGCUUUAUCUACACCUUCCAACGUGAAAUUUUCUUUUAUCUGAUCCCAUAUCAUUUCCUUCUCUCACUCAGGGACCACAUUUAUGGGAACCAUGCUUGCGGAAGCAAUGUUAUCAUCGAUUUCAGGGCUUUUCUAAUUUUGAAAGCUUAUUGGCAUGUUAUAUCUAACAAGAAACCCAAUUUGAUUCACCAAUUUGGUCUUAUCAUUGUCUGGAGCAAUUGGUUCACUAUCUCCAUCAAUUUCCGUGAUGAUUAUAUGGCCCUGUAACUUCUUCUUCUUGCCUCAUUUCCGUUUAGGCCUGCUGCUCGAUCUAGAUGGCUGAAAAAUGAAAAAACUAUUAAUUCCCAAGAAUCUUGAUAAGUAGAGAAUUCAUAUCAUGAUUACAUAUAAUAAUUGUUAUACCUCGCCUCGUUGCCCAUCAUUGCCUUCCUCGGCAAUUGGUUGCUCCUCAUUGCCAUCACUAAACAUGUGAGGUAGAUUGUAAUAUUCCAAAAUUUGAAAUAUUAAUUUGAGUGAAAUUUUCAAAAAUUUAAAACUUUGUUUGAAUUGUGUGCUUAUUUGAAAAAUAAAAAUAAAAUGCUAGUAUUUAAAUCCCAAUCUUAAAUUCAAACUUGUGUGCAUUGAAUUUGGAUCUUCAUGGAUUUUAUUUGGAUCUCAAAUAUGAGUGUGUUUGAACUUUGAAUGAAAUACAAAUAAAAACAGAAAACAAACUAACGUAAACUAACUUACCAGGCCAACCACAACCCACCAGCUUGGUCUGCAAACACCUUCCCACACCUGCAUGCGGCCAAGCUGCAAAGCGGCUCAGCUGCUAGCCGACCUAGCCAUCCCAACUGGCCUGCCCGAACGCCGCUGCACCCCCUCUCUUCUUUCUCUCACCACCAGGGAGACCCCACCAAAUAGCUAGCACUAUGCCGCUUUCUUCCUCCUCCGCAACACACACUCGGUGCGUGAGCGCUCGCCGGCCAUGCUAGAGCACACUACCGCACCAGCGCACCUAAAACCCUAGCGCGGAGCCGUUCGAUGGCCGCCACGCCAUGCUGGGCACGCUCACCAAGAAUCAGUGGCGCACGGCAAUGGCCGCAGGCUAUAAAUAGACCUGCCUAGCGCCCUCGUCUGCUCAUCCCAAGCUUGGUGCUUCUCCCCAUCACCGCCGCUAGAGAGGGAAGGAAGGAAAGCAGAGAGGAGGAGAAGGGAGAAGGGGGAAGAGGAUAAGGGUAAGGAGGAGAAGGGAAGGAGGAGAGCAGAGGAGGAGGAGACCGUCACCGAGGAACUGGAGUAGCCGCCGUCGCCGUCACCGAGGAGCCGGAGCUACUGCUGCCGCCGUCAUCGCCGAGAAGCCGAAGUAGAGGAGCCUCAGUGAGCCUCAUCGCCACCAUCUUAACCUUGUCUGCCUGGCCAUCGUGCUGCUACUCUAGCUGUUGUCCGGCCUUCAAGCCGCUGUGGUUGCCGCCGCCACCGCUGUCUGGUGUCGUCAUGCCGUGCCGCGACCUUAGAAUUCCUGGAUGCCUCGCGCAUAGCCUACCGUGCUGUGGUUGGAGUUAUCCCCAUGACUGCAUCGCGCCAACACUCGCAGCCUCGCCUGCUGCCUCGCGUCGCAACCCCACUGCUUGCCACUGCAUCGUGCCGACUCGUGUCGCCGUUUUCCUGCCGCGCGCCGGAUCACGACGCAUCGCGCCGUGUCACGGCGUCGUGGGCGCCGUCACCGCGUGCCCGGCGCCGUGACAUCGCGUGCACCGCCGCUCCGUUGCCGCCCGUCACCGCGCACCGCACGCGGGCCACACGCUCGUGGUGCACGGGAUCUGGCCGGUACACCAGAUCCCGGGGCUGAUCCGAGCGGCCACAUGUGUGCCAAGUGGGUGCCACAUGGUAGAGCCGCGACGGAUAGGGAAGCCAUGUGGAGCCACGUGGCAUGGGCUAGGCCUACUCGUGGGGCCCAUGGGCUGACCAGUGGGACCGAGUUGACCGCUGACCCACCAUGAACGCUGACCAGUCAGCGUUGA
rnacentral:lncRNA from 1 species